rnacentral:ncRNA from 1 species
UAGUUAUUAAGAAAGGCAGAGGGAAUAGACCUGUUGAAGCCUUAGCAACCCUUUAUUUAUAGAGAAGGUGCUACAUUCUACCGCAUAUUAGUGGGAAGAUAACAC